GCCGGGUGUGAUGGCGCGUGCCUGUAGCCCCAGCCAAUCGGGAGGCUGAGGUGGGAGGAUCGCUUGAGCCCAGGAGUUCUGGGCUAUAGUGCGCUAUGCCGAUCGGGUGUCUGCACUAAGUUCGGCAUCAAUAUGGUGACCUCCCGGGAGUGGGUGACCACCAGAUUGCCUAAGGAGGGGUAAACCGGCCCAGGUCGGAAAUGGAGCAGGUCAGAGCUCCCGUGCUGAUCAGUAGUGGGAUCGUGCCUGUGAAUAGCCACUGCACUUCAGCCUGGGCGACGUAGCGAGACGCUGUCUCU
rnacentral:SRP_RNA from 1 species